rnacentral:tRNA from 3 species
AGCCCCGUAGUGUAGCGGUCCAUCAUUCAGGCCUUUGGAGCCUGAGACCUCGGUUCAAAUCCGAGCGGGGCUACCA